rnacentral:rRNA from 1 species
UCUAUCAACUUUCGCUGCCACUUUCUAUGCCUACCAUGGUGACCACAGGUAACGGGGAAUCAGGGUUCGAUUCCG